UACGUAGGGUGCAAGCGUUGUCCGGAAUUAUUGGGCGUAAAGAGCUCGUAGGCGGUCUGUCGCGUCUGCUGUGAAAACUCGGGGCUUAACCCCGGGCCUGCAGUGGGUACGGGCAGACUAGAGUGCGGUAGGGGUGACUGGAAUUCCUGGUGUAGCGGUGAAAUGCGCAGAUAUCAGGAGGAACACCGGUGGCGAAGGCGGGUCUCUGGGCCGUAACUGACGCUGAGGAGCGAAAGCGUGGGGAGCGAACAGG
rnacentral:rRNA from 1 species